AUGCAAGUCGAGCGGUAGCACAGAGAGCUUGCUCUCGGGUGACGAGCGGCGGACGGGUGAGUAAUGUCUGGGAAACUGCCUGAUGGAGGGGGAUCACUACUGGAAACGGUAGCUAAUACCGCAUAAUGUCGCAAGACCAAAGUGGGGGACCUUCGGGCCUCUUGCCAUCAGAUGUGCCCAUAUGGGAUUAGCUAGUAGGUGGGGUAACGGCUCACCUAGGCGACGAUCCCUAGCUGGUCUUAGAGGAUGACCAGCCACACUGGAACUGAGACACGGUCCAGACUCCUACGGGAGGCAGCAGUGGGGAAUAUUGCACAAUGGG
rnacentral:rRNA from 1 species